rnacentral:rRNA from 1 species
AUGAACGCUGGCGGCGUGCCUAAUACCUGCAAGUCGAGCGAACAGACGAGGAGCUUGCUCCUCUGACGUUAGCGGCGGACGGGUGAGUAACACGUGGAUAACCUACCUAUAAGACUGGGAUAACUUCGGGAAACCGGAGCUAAUACCGGAUAAUAUAUUGAACCGCAUGGUUCAAUAGUGAAAGACGGUUUUGCUGUCACUUAUAGAUGGAUCCGCGCCGCAUUAGCUAGUUGGUAAGGUAACGGCUUACCAAGGCAACGAUGCGUAGCCGACCUGAGAGGGUGAUCGGCCACACUGGAACUGAGACACGGUCCAGACUCCUACGGGAGGCAGCAGUAGGGAAUCUUCCGCAAUGGGCGAAAGCUUGACAGAGCAACGCCGCGUGAGUGAUGAAGGUCUUCGGAUCGUAAAACUCUGUUAUUAGGGAAGAACAAAUGUGUAAGUAACUAUGCACGUCUUGACGGUACCUAAUCAGAAAGCCACGGCUAACUACGUG